GGAUGCGAUCAUACCAGCACUAAAGCACCGGAUCCCAUCAGAACUCCGCAGUUAAGCGUGCUUGGGCGAGAGUAGUACUAGGAUAGGUGACCUCCUGGGAGGUCCUCGUGUUGCAUUCC
rnacentral:rRNA from 1 species